rnacentral:rRNA from 1 species
UACAGAGGGUGCGAGCGUUGUCCGGAAUCACUGGGCGUAAAGGGAGCGUAGGUGGGCUGGUAAGUCAGUGGUGAAAUCUCCGAGCUUAACUUGGAAACUGCCAUUGAUACUAUUAGUCUUGAAUACCGUGGAGGUCAGCGGAAUAUGUCAUGUAGCGGUGAAAUGCUUAGAUAUGACAUAGAACACCAAUUGCGAAGGCAGCUUACUACACAGUUAUUGACACUGAGGCACGAAAGCGUGGGGAUCAAACAGG